UAAGAGCUCGUAGGCGGUUUGUCGCGUCUGCUGUGAAAGACCGGGGCUCAACUCCGGUUCUGCAGUGGGUACGGGCAGACUAGAGUGCAGUAGGGGAGACUGGAAUUCCUGGUGUAGCGGUGAAAUGCGCAGAUAUCAGGAGGAACACCGAUGGCGAAGGCAGGUCUCUGGGCUGUAACUGACGCUGAGGAGCGAAAGCAUGGGGAGCGAACAGGAUUAGAUACCCUGGUAGUCCAUGCCGUAAACGUUGGGCACUAGGUGUGGGGGACAUUCCACGUUUUCCGCGCCGUAGCUAACGCAUUAAGUGCCCCGCCUGGGGAGUACGGCCGCAAGGCUAAAACUCAAAGGAAUUGACGGGGGCCCGCACAAGCGGCGGAGCAUGCGGAUUAAUUCGAUGCAACGCGAAGAACCUUACCAAGGCUUGACAUGAACCGGUAAUACCUGGAAACAGGUGCCCCGCUUGCGGUCGGUUUACAGGUGGUGCAUGGUUGUCGUCAGCUCGUGUCGUGAGAUGUUGGGUUAAGUCCCGCAACGAGCGCAACCCUCGUUCUAUGUUGCCAGCGCGUUAUGGCGGGGACUCAUAGGAGACUGCCGGGGUCAACUCGGAGGAAGGUGGGGACGACGUCAAAUCAUCAUGCCCCUUAUGUCUUGGGCUUCACGCAUGCUACAAUGGCCGGUACAAAGGGUUGCGAUACUGUGAGGUGGAGCUAAUCCCAAAAAGCCGGUCUCAGUUCGGAUUGGGGUCUGCAACUCGACCCCAUGAAGUCGGAGUCGCUAGUAAUCGCAGAUCAGCAACGCUGCGGUGAAUACGUUCCCGGGGCCUUGUACACACCGCCCGUCAAGUCACGAAGUUGGUAACACCCGAAGCCGGUGGCCUAACCCUUGUGGGGGAGCCGUCGAAGUGGGACCGGCGAUUGGACUAAGUCGUACAAGGUAGCCCA
rnacentral:rRNA from 1 species